GUCAGUGUAGUGUAGUGGUUUGAGUAUUAGACUACAGUUCUGGAGACCAGGGUUUAGAUUCCCCUCUCAGCUA